CGCCGCUGACGGUGGACGAUGCACUCAAGCAGUAUGUUGUAAGCUUUGCAUCUGCAGGUACUUCACACCAUGGAACAGUUGUUGCGUACAUACAUAUAUAGAUGCAUGAUUGAUAGCAACUCAACUUAAUCAAACUGAACUGAUGGUGUAUGUGUGUGUGUAUGGUGCAGUGGAGGGGAGGUAACCAACAUGCUGUUCAGGAAGAAAAGAGGGAGGAUUCAGAUUCGUCGGAAUACUCCUUUGCCGGCUGACACCGGUGCCGAGCUGAGCUGCAGAUGACAAUGCCUACUCAUCUCGUAGUUCAUCUGUUUAAAUUCAUGGUGUGCGUCUCUUGGUGCUGUCCCUGAUGUGUUCAGAUCGGCAAACCGUCGUGUAGCCAUGUAGGUGAGUAGCUGAUUAGCAGUUUUGUUACGUUCCCACACAUAGCUCUUGUUACACUAUGAUGCCCUUUCCUACCUUGGAUUCGAUCACAUUGUUUCGAAGGACCCUCGGUCGGGUUUGUGAUACAUAAUCUGCACAAGAUCUGAACAGCAAACACAUGUUGAAAGCUUUCAUCUGGUUCUUUUC
rnacentral:lncRNA from 1 species